UUGCGACCCCGAGUCCCCGGCCGCGCCCUCGCGCUGCCGCCCCGCGCGGCCCCUGCUGGAGCCUGGGCCCUGAUGGGGACGGCCGCCCCGCCCUGGCUCCGCCUCCUGUCCCCCAGCCCCGCGGCCGGCCGACCCUCAUCGCUCUGCCCCCAGACCUGAGCCCGAUUUCUGAUCCCCCUCAGCCUGAUCCUAAUUCCCGCUCUCCAAGUCCUAACCCUUGCCUGACCUGGCUUCUGACCUCCCGCAUCUCAACUUCUUAUUUCCAGCCUUUCUCCAACCCCUGCUCCUCUGUUCCAAGUACUCCCCACGUCCUGCUUAUUGUCCCCCAUCUCUCUCCAAUCUGGAGCCACUAAAGUGUGGCUCCCUCUUUUCUCUUCCUCACUUCUGUCUCCCCGUGUCCCAGACACAGAGGACCCUUUGGCCCUCCCACACUGUCACUCUCUCCACAGCUCUGUAGCUGCUGUAGGUUCCUACCUGGGCUCGCCCCAGAGAUGUCCCUCUCCAGGGACGACCUCCACCCCACCCCAGCACUGGCCCCCAAUUAUAGGUGUUUGGGAGUCCCCUUGAGCCACCAGAGUUCUGACACUGGCAUGUGCUGACUUCUGCGAGUCUUCACUCAGUCUUCCCUUCCACCCUCAACUUCCCCGUGGCAGCCUUGAGCCAUGCCGCCUGCCCUGUGGGCUCGGCCAGCUAGCCUGCCCAGCUCCCGGGCCGCACCAGGGAGCGCCAGGCCUGGCUCUGAGCACCCCCAGGGGAAAAGAAAGAGGAGAGGGGUAGGUUUGGAAACACUCAGGCUGCGGGCCCCCUCCUCCCCUUCACCAGGCUCCUACAACUUUCAAAAACACUGACCCUUCUUGGAUGUAAAGAGUGAAUUUUGGCAGCUUAGAGCUCUGUCUUGGGGGACGGCCUGGCCCAGCCGGGAACAUGAGAGGCCCAGCAGAUAUCAGUUGAAAGACUGGGCCUGUCGCUCGGACGCUCAAAGGUGCCCGAGAGAGAGACCUCUGGUCCCUGGAAACUGUGCCGAUAUGAAUCCCUUAUUGCUGCCCCCAGAGAGGGCCUUGUGGUCUUAGGGUCUCCAGGGUGGUCCCCUUGCCUGUCCACUGGACUAUCCUACAGUCCUUCUGCCUGACUGUCCUUCUGCCAGAGAGAGUCUCUGUCUGUGUGUGAGUUGUCCUGUGUCUCCGUCUCUCCUUCUGCUAGUCUGUCUUCACCCCUCUGUUGACCUGUCCAGUUAUCUGUGUGCCUGUCUGUCCAUCUGCCUAUCCACCUGACUCUCACUCUUCUGCUCGUCUGUUUCCACCUGUCUUUGGUCUGUCUUUCUGCCUGACCCACUGCUGCCCGCUUGCCUGCCUCUGCCGAGUCCUAACUGGCCCACAGAAUUUCCGACGGGAGGGGAGGAAAUGCUGGCAAAGGAGCCCCCUGACCACAUGGAAGGUAGAGGAAGGGCGCUCUUUCAGCCUGCAUAUUCCCUUUUUUGCACCUCGGCGCCAGCCUGCGGGGAUGACAGCCACGGCUUGGUGCAGGGACCUCGGGGUGGGCCAGGUGGGGGUGGGGCAGAGAGUUGAGAUUGCUCUAGACAUGAGGUCAGACUUAGGGUCAGGGUCAGUGGUUAGGAGUAGCCCAAUCCCCAGUGCCCAUUGGGAGGGCCUGGGUGAAUUUUUCGCUGCAGAGAGCGCUGUUGGAGUGCUGCGGGUUCUGUGCUGGGGUAGCAGGGACAGUGGGAUCGGGCAUGAGGGGCAGGGGACUGCAAAUUAAGAGCCUCUGCAUUGAGAUCCCCUUGCCCACCCUACAGCCUGGGUGCUCUCGGAGCCUGAAACACUCCGCGGGCUCCACUUGGGAAAUGACUUUUCCAAGGCAAGGCUGGGCCUAGGGAAAGCGCUAGGGCUCUGAGGUGGGGGUCUUUAGUCCCCAGGCCUGGCCUCUCAGCCCCUGUAAAGGUCACUGGGGGUGAAGGACCCGCCUCAUGUCCUCUGGCCAACACUGUCUUCCCCUCCUCUGGAGGGGCCGCUCCUUCCUCUCCAGGAGCUAAAUCUGCUGAUACCUUUGCCCCACAUCCUGCCCUUUCUGGAUGCCAGGAAUGCCCUGGCCAGGGCCAGGCUGGUUCUGACCACUUGUCCCUGGGAGCCCAAGGCUGAGGCAUCUCUCGGGAGCUCUGGGAGAUGAAAGGCGGCAUGAAAAUGUCCGGAUGUUUGGGGAUCUCGGGGAACUGGUCAUUCAUCUUAGAGGUCAGGGGUUGCUGAGGGGUCAGGAACCCCACCUCUUGCAUGCUGUGCAGUCUUGGGCUGAUCGCCACAGGUCUCUGAGCUUUAGAUCUCUGGGCCAUCAGAGUGGGGAGAAACCCCAGCCUUGUGGGCUUUCGACUUGGAUGAGCAAUGGGUGGGAAGGACAUUGGUGAGCGGCAGGGGCCUGCGGGAACGUGAGGGAUGGAUGGUAUUAUUGGGCUUGGGGGAGGGGGCUGCUUGGGAGGCCUCUCCUGUUCUUGAGAAGCUCCAGAUGGGGGUCACUCCCUGCAGGGUCUUGGGCGAGCCAGGAAGUGCUUCCUACCUUUGGACUUCGACCCUGAUUGUUCCACUUUUGGUCAAAAUCCUUCCCCCAUCCCCAGUGACCCUCACAGGCAGCCCAAACGAGGGGAGUCCAGGGUGCACAGGUAGCUAGGACCCCCUUGCGGGAGACGUGGGCCCUGGUGGGAGAGGCCCCAGCAGGGAAACCUCUGGGAGAAAGACUCAGAGAGGAGGGAAUGGAGGUGAGCCGGCCCUUUCACCCCAGGGCACACCUUCCUCACACCUGCCAGCCAGGUGCCUCUGGGCCCCACCCAGAACCCGCACCUUCUCUGGCCCCGAGGUGUGGGUGAUUGCCCAGAGGACCAGCCCUAGUUCCACCUCUUCUGCCAGAGGCUGCAGCCCCUGGGAAGUGGGAACCCGCUGACUCCUGUCUUCUCAUUGAGAUCCAGAAAGAGAGACUGCUGGCUCUGCGAGCCCUUCCGCCUCCCUCCAGGCCCUCGGUCCUGUCACCAAGCCCCCACUCUCCUCCCCUGGGCCCCAGUCCUUGAUUUCAGCCCUCAACUCUUCACAGGCCCCGCUCUCUGAAUUUUGAGAAACACCACAUCACUGCCCAUCCUGCUUCCGAGCCCUUGGAAGGGAUCUUGGCUCCUUGCUGCCCGCUGCCAAGGGCCACGCCGGCCUCCCUUUUGAAGUCAGAGGCUGUAAGGGGCAAGUCUGAGCUGCGCUGCUGUGGGACUCUUGCAACUCCCAGCCCCCAGCUGCCCCACGAACUUUCUCUAAGUGAAGGUUUACGCUCUGUAAACAUCCUCCGGCAGCCUUGUCCCUGGGGUCAGAAGCUGUGGGAAUGGGGAGGGAAGGAGACAGCGGCAGCUCCCGAAGCCCUCAGCCUCCCAACCUCGGCGUCCCCCUGCCUCCCACCCUGACUGUCUGAGAAAGAACAUGGCCAGCAAAGGGUGCCCAGAGCCCACCGGCCUCCCUGGGAGAUGGGGCCACACAUUUUGACAGCCCCAUUUUGUGGAUGAAAAAACCGAGGCUCUGGAGACCCAUCACACAGUAGAUCAGUGGCAGGUGCAAGGGCUGGAGCCGAAGACUCCUGACUCCCUGUGCAGGGUCUCCCCGCUGCUCCCCGAAGCUGCCUGGGUUGGCUCUUGAAGUUUGAACUGAAAUUGCUGAUCACGUGUGGAUCAUCAGUUAUGUGCCGAGCACUGAGCUAAACGUCCUCUAUAAACCACUGUCGCUGUGUCCUUCAGCAGCCCGGCAAGGUGUGUGCUGGUGUCCUCUUCGUGCUGGUGAGGAAACUGAGGCUCAGGAGAGGUCCUGCAAUCAGCGUGGAGGAGCCUCAGCCCAGAGCCGGGGCUGCCCACACUGUCUUCCUCCUGCACCUCGCCUCCAGCCUGCACCCCAACCCUGGGUUGCUCAGGAGCUAUGCGCCUGCGCCCUUUCCCUGUGUCCCUAGCACACAGGCAGUGGGGGGUAGGGAGGUGGGCAGUGGCAGGAUUUUGUGAAACUGGAUGGCAAUUGCCCGGCCUCACACAUGCAGUCACACUUUGGUUGUGCAUGGCAACAGUUCUGCACACACACAUCCCCACUAUAUGCCCAUCGGUCUGUCUCACACACGCACUCUAGGCAACUUGGACACACCUGCCCAUGGAUGUCAUAAGAGCACACCUAGCACACAUCCAGGGCAAAGAAGUCCAAUGCACAGCUGCUCCCACCUUUUCUCUGUCUUCACAGACACACGCUUGGGCCUGCGCAGGGCAGAGCCGGUCCCAUCUCUUGAGUUUUCUGCCCCUGCCUGUCCACAGCUGCAGGGGUGCCCGUAUGGGUCUGUGUAUGUUUCUUCAUCUGCCUUGGGCAGCCCCAGACCCAUGUGGGAGGGUUGGCGGACUUCCUAGCACUUUGCCAGGCUUUGCUUCUCCUGAAGGGCCCUGUGGUGCACUGCUGGGUUCACUAAGUCACAGAAAGGGGCAGGCACUUGCCCAAGGUCACGUCUGAUGAGUUGGUGGUAGAACUGUGCCUGGAACUGAGGCCUUCUGCCUCUUAGAUCAGGACUUGAAUAUUUUUGUUUAUUUGGCUGCACCUCACACAGGAUCGUCACUGCAGCAUGUGGGGUCUUUAGUUUAGUUGCAGCAUGUGGGAUGUAGUUCCCUGCCUAAGGAUUGAACCCAGACCCCCUGUAUUGGGAGCACAGAGUCUUAGCCACUGGACCACCAGGGAAGUCCCAGAUCAGGAUUUUAGAUACUAUUUUUCAUCGCUCAGCUGAUUAGAAAGAUUGCUCCAAGAACUUGGCCCUGCAAUGGCGAAAGUCUUGGGGUGUGACCCACAUUUUCUGUACUGCUGUUUUUCAGUCUCAGUCCUUUAGGUUGGUCUUUGUAAGACGGGAAGUGGAGAGGCUAUCCUGCUAGCCUUCCAGCCCUUCUAUCUCUCUCCCUUCCCCUCCCACUCCUUUGCUCCCUCCUUUCCACAUUCUCCUUGGGAGGUCACUGGAGCAUGUUGGAUCUCUUAUUGUCUACUACCCUAUCCCAGCUCCAUGGUACAUCUGUUUCUUCCAUCGAGGAAGCCCUGCUGGAUGUCUAACUUCAGUAUCUGUUGCUGCAGAAAUCUAUAUUUUCAGAAUGUUGGAGCCAGGAGAGUGUCAAGAGGUGGUUGUUCUUAGGCUGAUGGCAGCACUUUGAGUGGGUGAUAAAUUUAAAGUUCUCAGAGCCAGUCAAGGGAGCUGAAAUGGCCUGGGGAACAGGGAGAGAGGAGGGCUCUGCAGACCCAGAGGAGGCCGUGUGGGGAACUUCUCCAGACUUGGAGAAGCCAGCUGGAGGUUUUCUCAGCUCCCUUCCUCCGCCCCCAUGCACACCUGUGGGUCUUUUGCCAGGACCGACCUUCUUAUGGGCUACGGGGCCCGGCAGGGAAUUCUGAGUGUCUGACAGCUGUGGGGCUGAGAUGGAUGAAUAGGGGGGACUUUUCAUUUCUCCAGAGGUUGCCCCACCGCGGUUAAGAGUAUGGGCUCCGAGUCUGCCAGAUUCGGGUUCAUUUCUGCUUCUACUCUUGGCAGUUAUGUGUCCUUGGGCAAGUUACUUAAGCUCUCUGAGCUUCUGUUUUCUCAUCAGAAAAAAAUAGGACGCAUAAUACCUGCCUCUAGAACUGUCAGGGCCAAGUGAGGGGGAGCACCUGAGUAUCACCAUUAUUAUUAUAUUGUUGUUGUCAUUGCGCUCCUCCCCGGGGAGAGGUUUGAUGGAUGUCCUUAUUGGCACCGUGAGUGUAUCUGGGUGUUCCCCAGGACAGAGCAGGAGCUGCAUUCCCCUGGGUUGCGGGGUGAGCAGCUCCGCACGGGGAGCCUGAGGACGAGUCUCUGUGGGCGUCUGAGGAAUGCUCCGAGGCACUCUCUCUGUUAACCCUCGCAGCCAUUACAUCAGCUGGGCACCGUUGUUAUGCUCAUGCCCACUCGAGGAAAGUGGGGCUGGUGAGGGGACGUCACACACCUGCCCAGGGUCCCACAGCGAGUGAGAUGGUGGCUCCAGGAUGCCAAGCUGGGUGCCUAGCAUCUCACUGACUUCCUUCACUUGACACAUAGAGUUAAAGAGCGUCAACUCUGUAUCAGGUCUGGGGAGGCAGAGGGAGACAGAGCAUGUCUGCCCCAGCCUGGCGGUGGUGGUGGGGGCUGUCCAGUGAGGAGGCUGUAGAGUCUGUCUGGACCACUGGGCUUUCCCGCCUCCUCUCUUGGGGGCUCCCAGAGAGGGUGGAGGUGUGUGCGUGUCCGCAUGUGUACAAAGAGGAGGGCAUCCAUGAGAGUGUUCCUGCACAGCUGAGGUCAAACCCUGCAGCUAGCCUGGCCCCAGGCAGGCAGAAGUGGGGUUGUGGAACCCAGGGGCAUGGGCAGGGAGGGGAGGGCCACCCCCAACUCUCUCCUGAGCUUGCUGUUCUGUGGAUAGGCACAGGGCCUCCCCAAGGAGAUUGAGAGUUCUCGGUCCCAACACUUGCUGGGAGGAUGCCUGCCCCCUACUCCACCCCAGCCCCUGAGCCUCACUGUCCCCCUCUGUAAAAUGGGGCUAAAUGGGAAAGUGGGCUGGUAAGGGCUGCCUGGCACAGUGGGACUCUGGAUGAAUGGGAGGAGCCGCUGUCUCAGACCUUCAGCCUUGUAGGGUGCAGGGUGGUGGGAGUUCUCCAGCACAUUCUCCCUGAGCCCCCCCCACUCCGAGGAGUGGGCCACACUGAGAAGGGCACUCAAAAGACUGCCUGCCUCCAGCGGGGACCCUGAGGGGCUGGGGAGAGGGUGCUGAUCAGACUUCUGGGGCCCCUAUAAAGCCCCCACUGCAGGACUCCAGGUUUUCUGGGCAACUUUUGUCACUCCGGCAGGAUCUGCCUGCCCUGGGGGUUGGCACCUGGGCGGGUAGUGAGAAUGGGAGGGGCAGCCCCAGGCAGCAGACUAAUUGAGCUGGGAAUCCGUGGGCAGUGCCUGAGGGAGGGAGGCGAGGGAGCAGGGAUUCAGCGAUUCCUUCCUUUCUGAGAUUUGGGGAGCGGUGGGUGGAGUGGGGUCUCCAGCCCAGGGGCCCUCCCUAAUCCCUACAGGCAAAUCUGGGGAAGGCUUUCUCCUGAGACCCCUCAGACAUCCAGGCCAGGCAGCUGGGGAAGUGGUGGAGGGGAGCUGGAGAUAAAUGGAAGUGCUUCCCACUGAAGCAGGUGAGAUGGAGGUCAGACAGCAGGAAGGACUGACUGCUCCACACCAGGAGGCAGAGUAAGAUUCCCUGGGGUACCCUUUCCAAUGCUGGGGAGCCCAUCUCAGGCUGGGUUGGACAAGAUUUACUCUGCUUAUUGUCCCCAUCAAGCAGUGGCCCCUCACAAUGUGAUGGAAGGAGAGUGGAUGGAGCUGCUUGAGCCCCUCUGUUGGGGGCGGGGGAGGAACAGAUCAGGCACCCUUGAGCGUUUAGGGAGGGUGGCCACAGGCUACCUCUCUUCCAUCCUUGCUUCCCCACUGCUCCUCCCUGGGAGCCUCAGGCCCGUCUAGGUCACUGUCUUUGGGUUUAUUUUUUGCUGGGCUCGGCUGUCCCCUGGGAGGGGAGGGGUAGGGAGAGAAAAAGGGAGAAGGAACUGCUCUGUCAGCACAAUCCCGGCGCCUCUGCUCCUGCCCUGCCUGGCCCGGCUGCCACCCUCUUCUGGAAGGACCCGGCCCUGGGGACAAUGGGGCCCCAGACCUGCGUGGGACCACCUUCCCUGGGGCAAGACCAGCAGGUCUGGAACAGGCCUUUCUCCCCUCACCCUUCCUCCUGCCGCAGAGCAUCAAAAGCAGAAGGGCCUCUGAGCUCAAGCAGGUCAUGGCUUCACUUCACAGUUGGGGAAACUGAGGCCAGGAGGAAGAAUCCAGCACACCUGGGGCCUUCUUACCUCCCCUCCGCAGUAGAUGAGAGUCGUGCUAGAGUUGCUGAGAACAGAGGGAAGCUGCCUGCCAGUUCCACCCUGUCCUCUGAGAGUUGGGAUAGGAAACCGAGGCUCAGAAGGCGGGAAUCAUGUGCACCAAGUGACACGACUUGGUGGAGUCAGGAUUCAAGCCCGUGUUUGUGACUCCCAAGCCCAAGCUCCGAAGGAGUCUCACAUGCGUCAGCAGACCCGGGCUUUUUUCAGUGACCUCAGGCAAAGCUGAGAGAACUAAGGACAACGUGGUGACUUUUUCAUAAAGCUAAACUUAUUCCAUUUAAAGGACUGUCAUUUAGUCUGAGAUUAUGUCCUUUCUCUUAUGAAAUGAUGGGCCUGGGAAUUUUUUAAAGAAUGUCCUUACUUGGCAAAAUAAAAAAGUUGACAACCUCAUGCAGUCCCUAAAUUGUUUUUGAAAAUUCUACCCGUGCGUGAAAUCCCUGAGUCUGGGCGCCAUCCUGCCUCCUCCGGCCUGAGCAUUGGGACCAGAAGUGGGAGGAGUCCAGGUAGGAAAGGAAGGAUUAGAGGGCCGGGGGGGCUGUCAGUCUGCCCUGUCUAUUUCUCCUGGGCCUCGGGGCCAGCCUGCCCUGGAAUACAACGAGGACCAGCCCAGGGCUCUUGCCAAGACUGGUCUGCACGGAGGAUGGGGCAGGUCACCCAGGAUCAGGGCUUGCCCCUCAGUUAAAGGAACACUGAAACCAGAGUCGGCAGGCUGGGGAUCGGUGCCCACCUCUGCUUCUUAAAGGCUGUGUAACCUCAGGCAGGUGACUCAACCUUGCUCAGGCUCUUGCUUCCCAUCAUCCAUGGAGAAGGACAAUUAUCAUCUCUGCCUGCCCCCAGCGUCAAGUGCCUCAUGGACUAUGAAGUGCUGUGAGGAACAGAGGGCCUCCCGUGCCUCUACCCUCCCUGCUCCCCAGCACACGCUCCCUUUUCUCACCCUGGCCUGAAGAGCGUGUAUUCCAGACUGGCAAUUCCUCUCCUCAGGAGCCCCUGCAGAGUAGUUGGAGGCCUGGGGGCAAGGUGGGGGGGUUCUCUAUGACAACCUUACUGGGGCCAGGCUGAGAGGCCCAGAGUUCUAACGGUUUUCAUAUACUAAUGAGUUUCAUAGUCUAACUUGUAUGGGGUAUGGUGCCAGAUAUGGGGUAUUUUUCACAUGCUACUGUACUUCAUUUAAUCCUUUUCAGAGCCCUUGGACGUAGGCACUGUCAUUACACUAUUGUGUAGAGGAGGAUGCUGUUCUGUGCUUAUCGCUCAGUUGUGUCCGACUCUUUGUGACCCUAUGGACUGUAGCCCGCCAGGCUCCUCUGUCUAUGGGGAUUCUCCAGGCAGGAAUACUGCAGUGGGUUGCCAUGCCCUCCUCCAGGGGAUCUUCCCAACCCAGGAAUCGAACCAGGGUCUCCUGCAUUGCAGGCAGAUUCUUUACCAGCUGAGCUACCAGGGAAGUCCGUAGGAAGGGAUACUGAAGCUUAAAUGGUCAGCAUGUGCCCUGUCAUGCAGCCACUAAGCGGUGAGUAUCCAGGAGGACCGACUUGAAGCCUGAGUGGGAGGGCCUCUGUGAUGUGAGAAGGUGGAAGCAGGUUCACUGGGCCCCAGUGGGCGAGCCAGGGUGGAGGACAAUUACAGUAUACACGGGGAGUGUGGUUUGGGCUGGGAAAGCAAGACACACCGUCUCGCUGGGUAACUUCAGGCAGUUACCUCCCUCUCUGAGGUUCAGCCUCCCCUGUUGCUGGACCUCUCAAUAAUAAUAAAGGUAAUAAGAGCCCAUGCUUGUGGAGGACCUGCUGUGUGCUGACACUGCUCUGAGGACUUGCUGGUUUUUCUUUCACUUUUUCAGUGACCAGAGGAGGUAGGUUGUAUGGUUAUGCCCAUUUUUCAGAUGAGGAGGCUGAGGCACAGAGAGGUUGAGUAACUUGCGUGAGUAUAGGUUGUGGGGCCAGGAGUCAGUCAAACCCCAGAAUUUAGCUCUGGAGGCCGUCAUCUUUCCCACCAGAUUAUUCCUAACUGGGAGCUUCCCUGAUGGCUCAGGCAACCCACUCCAGUAUUUUUGCCUGGAGAAUCCCAUGGCGGGCUACAGUCCCUGGGGUUGCAAAGAGUCGGACACGACUGAGUGACUGAGCACGCACAUGCAUACCUAACUGGCCCCGAUGGGCCUGCCUGCUGGGAAGCUGCUGCGAGGACCAGCUGAGCUUUAAAGUUCAGGUUCUGUCUCCACCCCAGUUCUACACUUUCUUGCUUUUUCAUUUGGGAAGCCUUGCAUGGCAGUCCUUGAGGGGCCAGGCCCUAUCCCAAGAGCUGGGGACAGAGCAAUGAAUCUGACUCUCCCCUGCUCCCUGGCAGGAGAUGUGCCAGGCCGCUGGCAGCUGUCUGGGUGGAAUCCUGUGGGGGCCCAGCUCAGAGGAGCCGAACCCAGCCCCAAACUGGCGGUGACUGGGAAGGCUUCCCAGAGGAAGAGGUUUCAGCGGAGACCUGAAACGUGAGGAGUCAGAGUCAACCAGGCAAAGAGGAGGAGGGAAUAGCAUUCUGGGCUGAGGGACUAGCAUGGGCAAAGCCCUGAGGUGGGGCUGAACAUGACCUUUGCAAAGAACUGAGAGAGGGCAGGAGAGUGGGAGCCUGGACGGGGCGGGAGGUGUGCAGACGAGAGGCUGGAGCGUGAGUGAGGCCAGGCUGAGAACUGCAGGCUGAGGAGCCGAGACUUCUUGGAGGAGACUGGGUUCGGGAAAGAAUUGGGGACAGGAGUGCCAUGGGCGAAUUGGUGUCUGAGAAACGCCCCUCUGGGUCUAGCAAGGGGAGCAGACUCCCGUGGGGAGCUCUGGGGCUGCCACCCGCCUGGCCUGUCUUUCCCUCUGCCUUCCCCUCACGGCCCAGCCAUCUGAGCGGUUCCUCUGGAGCUGCCCACUAACCCUGCCAGGGCCGGGCUGGACCUGGCCUGAAGCCCUAGAGUUUUUGCCUGUAUGGAAAGUUCAGCUGCUUAUGCAAAGCCUGGCCUGGGGGAAGGUGUGUGUGAAUGAGUGGAGGGAGGCCUUGGAAGCAGAGUGGGUAGGUGCAGGCUCUGAUGGGGGUCUGUGGGGGUCCCCAGAACAGUGAUCUUAGAACAGCCCUACAAGAGCACCCGGGUUUAGUCCAGUGGAUGGUGGGGUACCCGGGGGAAAGGGGCAGAGCCCACAAGGCCUAGUCUGUUGAACUCCUUGCUCCCUGUCUGCCAGUUAGGGUGUGGAAAUCACUGACCCCACCCAGCCCCCUCAGUCUACUGAUGCAGAAACUGAGGCCCAGAAGAGGGCAUGCAACAAACUUAGACUAGCGGCAGAGCACAGGCUUAGCCCAAGAGUCCCGAUUGUCCCCCGAUUUAUCAAUAAUAAAGAGCCAGUGCAAACCUCUCAGCAGCGCUGGCCUGGGCUCACGUCCCCUCUGUGUGGUCUUGGGCAGGUCUCCUCACAUCUCUGAGCUUCGGCCUCGGGGUCCAAAAUGCUACCUCAUACUGGGAAGAGCAUCACCUCUCCCAUUUGAGGCUUUAAGGCAUGCCUGACCCAUCAUGCUGCUGCUGCUGCUAAGUCGCAUCAGUCGUGUCCGACUCUGUGCGACCCCAUAGACGGUAGCCCACAAGGCUCCCCCAUCCCUGGGAUUCUCCUGGCAAGAACACUGGAGUGGGUUGCCAUUCUCCAAUGCAUUAUGGGGCUUAAUCAAUGUUUACUCAAUGAAUCUCACUGAAUUCUCACAGUGCUGGAGGAAGAUAUUUAUUACACUGUUUUUAUACUGAGGCCCAGGAAGGAGAAGUGACUUGUCCAAGGGCAUUCAGCUGAGAAGUGGCUGAUAUGAGGCUGGAGCCCAGGUGUCUGGGCACCUGUCUAGGACCUCUGAUUGACACAGCUCCUAUUUUGAGCUCUCAGUGAAAAGCAGCUGGUGUCCCAAGCAAGCUCCAUCCGUUGGUUGGCCACAGUGUGUGUGUGUGUGUGUGUGUGUGUGUGUGUGUGUGUGUAUGUGUGUGAAGUUAGGCUGGCUGACAGGCUGGAACUCAGCUCGCAUCAACCCCUGUGCUUCUGUGCUUAGGCCAGGCUGCAGCUGCUACCCCAUGGGGAAGGGACCUUUCCACUUGCCCUCCUGCAUCAAGGUUUUUUUCUCGUGGCCUGCCUAGCUGGAGAGAAGAGCUGGUCAUGGCAUGACUAACAGGGCACCUGCCAGCCCCUCCCACGCUGGAGUCUGGCCAUCUAAUGCCCUGCACAUGACAGGCAUGGGGUGGGCACAGGGUGGGGAGAGGGAUUUGUACUUUUCUAAUCCAGGGGCUGCAGCCCUCUUCCGUCUUGGCCAGGGCCGUGGGAGAGGUUUGUCCCUGGCCGCCACCCCUCCAUGCCCAGCAGCCCCAGCUCAAAUCCCUGGCAAGCGCCCGGCUCCUCUGCUUGGGGCCUCCCCUUGCUCUGCCCAUGCUCCCCGCCCCACCCCCACACCAACUGAGGCCGAGUUGGGAUCUAUGGGGGCAGAUGCUGGGGUGUCUGUGACUGGUGGAGAUGCAGCGCCAUGCAGCAUCUGGGGCUCAAGGAUGGGGCAAUGGCAGGGAGGUUUGGGGCCCAGGCUGGGGCAGAGUUAGGGAGAGGACCUGACAGGGUGCAGAGUUUUGAGUGUUUGGGGCUAAUGCUGGGCCACCCCUUCCUGGAGAAAUUUGGCUACAAGUCAGGGAGGCAAAUGUGUGGGCCGUGCCCCCCCUCCCCCGCCUUGCUGGGCGGUAAACACAGCCGUCUCCCAGGAGACGGGCCCAAACAUCUCGGCCCCCCACGGUUAUUUAUACCAGGACUCCCUCUCCUUCUCAGGCCUGUUCUGGCCUCUCAAUCCACUCCUGAGCUGAGCGUUCUGAGUGGAGGGUCCAGCCCCUGUCAAGGCAGGAGGGCCCAGCAGCAGGCCUGCUUAAACCCCACUAGGGACUGGGCACUCACCACCUCCCAGUGGCAUGUCUGCUAGAGGCACUGGGUCUUAUUGAUCAGAAAUGUGCUCAUGAAGGCCAGGGCCUGUGGAGGAAGCGGGAGUCCUGGGAUGGAGCUCUGCCUUUGUUCUAAACUGCAGUAUGACUGUGGUCCCUGUAACCUCAGCUUCCCCACAGUUCAGCAGGGGGAAAGGGUCCUGAUGGUGCAAGCUUUUAAGCAGUAGACCUGGUUCUUUAAAGGAAAUGUGACACAGGAGUACAAUAUACAAAUACAUUAAAGCUGAGCUGCUCUGGGUGAAAUCAAGGGUUGGGGUCCAGACUUCUGCCCACUCAGCCUCUAUGGCCCUGCAUGCCACCAACCUGGAGCCUAUGCAUGACCCUCCUUAUUCUAGAACACACUUCAGGGGACCCUGGAGUUCCCGUUUCAGGGCUAGCACAGGCCUCUUUACUGGUUCACCAGCCCAAGGUCCAGUGUUGUGUGAGUGCUCCUAGCAUCAAGAGCAAAUGUUUGCAGCCAGUGUAGAUCAGAGCAGGCUUGAGCCGCCACAGGAAUGUACCUGAGGCCCUUCCAGUGAGGAAUGAGCCCAGUGUGGGAGGAGAAGAGGGCACACCAGGGGCUGGGCACUGGAGGGGAGCAGGGGCUGGCUGUCCCCUCUCUGCCAGAUUCUAGCAUGGGACACCAAGGAGUCAACGAUUUUAAACUCAAACCUAGCCUUCCAGAUCGGUACGAAGGUGAAUAUGUCAGGAAGGAUAGAACGUAUUUUAUUUAACAGCUUGUUGGCUUAUAGUGUGUGGGUCUCCAUUUGUACUCUUUCCCAGUCCCACCAGUGUUCAAAAUGGACUUGCAUUGGCUCUCCCUCCAUCCACACCCACCUCUGUAGGAACCCCAAGGUGCCCUUAUCCAGAAAUCUCAGGCUGCAGAGGACAGUGGGAAAUUCCUGACUCACGGAUGCUCAAGGCCCUGGAGACCUGGGUCUUCUUGUUUCCUUCCAGAUACUGUCUGAGCUUCUACUUGGCUAGCCUGGGAGAUGUGGAAGAGUCAUACUGGGACUCUUUACCGGCUUUACCCUUGAUGGAUAGAUCCUAAUGAGCUGUUGUUGGUGGGUUAGGAGUGGACAGAGGUAGAAACUGUCUCUGCACAAAGGGAUCCUGGGGUCCUCAGAGGGGGCCAGGAAUCCCAACCAGGGGCUGGGCUAGUAUUCCUCAAAGCAGAUCAGGGAUUCUUGGGGGAAAAGGGGGACCAUCCUGAGAAGAGGAGAGAACACGAAAGUCACCAAGGUGGAAAUAGGGUAUGGAAGGGUGGAGUGUGGGCAAUGCCUAGUGUGUGUACAGCCUCAAACUCUGGGCUGAGAACCUCAGGUGGAGGUAAAUCAUGGAGGGG